rnacentral:rRNA from 1 species
UAGGGAAUCUUCGGCAAUGGACGGAAGUCUGACCGAGCAACGCCGCGUGAGUGAAGAAGGUCUUCGGAUCGUAAAGCUCUGUUGUUAGAGAAGAAAGUUGGUAGGAGUGGAAAAUCUACCAAGUGACGGUAACUAACCAGAAAGGGACGGCUAACUACGUGCCAGCAGCCGCGGUAAUACGUAGGUCCCGAGCGUUGUCCGGAUUUAUUGGGCGUAAAGCGAGCGCAGGCGGUUCUUUAAGUCUGAAGUUAAAGGCAGUGGCUUAACCAUUGUACGCUUUGGAAACUGGAGGAAUUGAGUGCAGAAGGGGAGAGUGGAAUUCCAUGUGUAGCGGUGAAAUGCGUAGAUAUAUGGAGGAACACCGGUGGCGAAAGCGGCUCUCUGGUCUGUAACUGACGCUGAGGCUCGAAAGCGUGGGGAGCAAACAGG